rnacentral:rRNA from 1 species
UACGUAGGGUGCAAGCGUUAAUCGGAAUUACUGGGCGUAAAGCGUGCGCAGGCGGUUAUGUAAGACAGUUGUGAAAUCCCCGGGCUCAACCUGGGAAUUGCAUCUGUGACUGCAUAGCUAGAGUACGGUAGAGGGGGAUGGAAUUCCGCGUGUAGCAGUGAAAUGCGUAGAUAUGCGGAGGAACACCGAUGGCGAAGGCAAUCCCCUGGACCUGUACUGACGCUCAUGCACGGAAGGCGUGGGGAGCAAACGAGG